CCCCUCGCCGAGGAUGAACUCGUCGAGUACAUCCUUACCGGCUUGAAUGGAGAAUUUGAGUCGCUGGUCUCCUCCCUCAUCACCAGGGUCGAGCCUGUCUCACUUGAGGAGUUAUACUCCCAAUUGCUAACCUUCGAGA